rnacentral:rRNA from 1 species
CCGUGCCCAAGAGAUCGGGAUAACACCUGGAAACAGAUGCUAAUACCGGAUAACAACAGAUGAUGCCUAUCAACUGUUUAAAAGAUGGUUCUGCUAUCACUCUUGGAUGGACCUGCGGUGCAUUAGCUAGUUGGUAGGGUAACGGCCUACCAAGGCGAUGAUGCAUAGCCGAGUUGAGAGACUGAUCGGCCACAUUGGGACUGAGACACGGCCCAAACUCCUACGGGAGGCAGCAGCC